GCCAAUAGAGUCAUUUCCAUAGAGAGAGCUGACUUUGCAUUAUCAGCACAUGCUUCAGUGCUCUGGGAGAGUUUAUAGUCCUGUGAGUUUAACACUUCAUGACUGAGAGCUGCUGCCCCACAAACUUCACCCACAGCAGACAUGACUUUGACCACCAUCUUCAUCUGGACUCUGAUCUUCUGGACUCAAGGAUCCAGAGGUCAGGCGACUGUGACUCAGACUCCUGCAGUGAAAUCUGCUCUUCCAGGAGAAACAGUCACUCUGAACUGUAGAACCAGCCCUGCAGUGAAUGUGAAGACUAAUGGAAAUGAACAUCUGUCCUGGUUUCAGCAGAAACCUGGAGAAGCUCCUAAACUCCUGAUUACGGAUGUAGAAACGUUACAGUCAAGCAUUCCAGCUGGUUUCAGAGGCAGUGGAUCUGAAUCUGACUUCACUCUGACCAUCAGUGGAGUCCAGACUGCAGUUCAUGAGAUCACUACUGUCAGAGUAGUCAUGGUAACGGUGCGUCCACAGUGAUACAAAAACGUACAAAAAGCUGUGAGAGUCAGAGACACAGAGACUUCACUGCUGCAGCUGAGACCUACUGCAGGUGCUGAGGGGGAGGAUGUGAUGCAGCACAAUCACACACUCUGACUCACACUAACACACUAUUCACUCAACACAACACACUGAUCUGCUCAGACCGUCUCAUCGUCUCAGUGUUGCAGAUGAUAUUUCAUACACACUCUGUCUCUAAUAGAAGAUCCUGUAGUCUUUUCUAAUAAUUAGAGCUCCUCACCACCUUUAAACCACAGCUCUGAGCUAAACCGCUGUACAAACACUCAGAUCUUCUACCUCAGCUUCAUCUCUUCAAACAACACCUGACA